GUGUCUUAUAUUGGAAAUAGGAUUGAUGGAACCCUUAAUAAUAUAUGAUUAUGAUAUUUUACUUGAGAGCCAAGAAAGGAGAGUUUUAGCUUUCCCUUAUGGAUGGAAUCUAAGACUUUUUGGCUAAUAUAUAAACACCGGUCUCUGCUAACCCUAGACACGACAACUAAGGCUUCCCAUAGAGCAUUUGUCAUAAAGCUAGGAGUUUACAGAAGAGUUGGUGUUUUCUGUUUGUCAUGGCAAACAUAAAGAUUGGAGUUUUAUCGAUCACGUCUUGCUUGCAUGGCUGUUGCAUCUUCGACAACUGCCAUUGGAAUCAGGUCAGUCACUCCUUCGUUUGUGUUUUAAUUGUAUAACCUUGUAAGGCUAACAAUUGGUAUCAGAGCCACUGGUUAUAUGAUUAAAACCUAUUAGGUUUGAAGUUUGAUUAUAUAAUAUCUUUUCUUUUGGACUGCGGUUUUUUUUUUUUAAUCCAAAUUGUGAUUGCAUUCAGCAACAUCACCAUGUUGGACCUGCUUGAAAACUGCAUAGUACGGUUCCGCAUAUAAUUGUAUAUACUUGGCAUAUUAGUAUGAUAUGCACGGCACAUGUUUUACAUCAAUUCCUAUUUGGUCUUAGAGACCGAAAUUAUCAGUUACAUUAAACGAUUACAUAAUUGGAUAAUCUGUUUCUGCGAGUGGUGCCUGUUGAGUUCAAGUUUUCUUCCACCGCCAUCACCCUUCAAUUCCAAACGUGGGCUUUUAUAAUUGAAGCACUUAAUGAUGAUAUUGAAUCAACUAUAAUAAAGGAAGAUUAAAAUAGUUGGUUCAUUAAUUUAUAGAAUUGUAUAAUUGGAAUUACCAUGGUGCUUAACGUUUUCUAUUUCAAUGUUCAUAUUAAUAUUUGGGUUCAAUUGAAAUAGUCAUCGGUUCUAACCUUGCACUGGAGAAUUUUGAGAUAUAUCACUCAUAAAUUGGUAAACUAAUAAUUGUUGAAUGGUAGGUUUUCAAGCACUUCAAGCUUCCUUUCUUGUAUUCAGUUCUCAUAAAGAAAGAUUGGAACAGUUUGCUUUGCUCAUCUUUACUGAAUUAAUUAUGACUGGAAGAAGAUGGCAUGCUUUAAGCUGUCUUUCGAUAUUCAUGCCAAUGUUUUGGUUGAAUUAAUUUAGUGGAAGAUACAACUUUUUGGCUAACGUUGUUGUCAAUUUUGUAAGCAUAUAGAAAUAUGUACUUCUGUACUAAUCUUGCCAAGGAAGACUAUGAAGCAUCUCAAGUCAACAAGCUCGGUAAAGUCUCCUAUCAAAGCAAACAAUAUUGAUCAUUAUAUGUGUCAAUUGCGAAUUAAUUAGUUGAUCAUGCAUAUGGUUAGUUUUGACUAUUAAGUUUUAAACUUGGUUAUCAAAACAAAGAGAAAAUAUAUGUUUUGAACAUGAUUAAUUCUUAUAUGCAUAUAAGUGGCAUACAGAACGAGGGAAAAGUAGAUUUUUUAAGAUAUGCCAAGAUGCAUGCAUAUAAAAGUGCAUAUAUAUCUUGCUUGUUCGUGGCUUUUCGUUAGUAAUGUGCAUGAGUGAGCCUAUUGGCUGGUCCCAGCAGCUCCAGUCACUGCUUCCAGGGUGGAAAGGCAACAAGGGGACACUAAGCACCCCUCAAAAUAUAAUUACAUACCUUAUAAGGUUUUUGGAAUUACUUCUUAAACUCCAAAUCUUUAUUGCCUCUGUUAUCCAUUUGAAUAAGGACUAAUAUUGUUUGCCAUGAAUUGCAAUUGCAUAAGUGCCAGCAAUUGUUUGAUCAAGCUAAGUAUACGUAAUUUUCUAAAGCCAAUUAUGUAUCUAGAAGUUCACAUUGCAUGUGUAAAAUUAUCAUGACACCAGUAUCUAAAUGGUAUGUAUAUGGUAGACAUACGGAGAAGCAUAUGUAAAAAUGCAUAAAUUAUUUUAUUGUUUGAGACUAUAUUUUGUACAAAUAGUCUGGGUGUUUCGGCAUUAGUACAAGAGUAAGUCUAUUGCUCUGUUUUUCAUGGGUAAUAACCAAAAUGGACAUAUGGCAUGUUUUAUUAAAGGGAUUGGGUUGUCCUAACACAAAUGUGUUGAUUAGUAAUGCAGUAUACUAGCACUUAAGUAUGAUGGGGGAUUAAUUCAAGUACGGUUUAUAAUGAUAUUAACUCCAUGCGGAAUUUGCAUGACUAAUCAAAUUAGUUUUGUCUACAAUUUUGCUUUCCUAUCUCAGUAUAGUCAUUUAAUUGUACAUGACUAAUGCAUAACUUAUGGAUUGACUGAGAAGGACAGAAAGCAUCCAAUGACAAGAAUAAGGGUAUAAUACAAGUGAAUAAGGUUUGUAGUAAUUAUGUGACAAUUCUCAUUUGUAUUUUAACUAUUUAUUUGAGAAUUGUGGUUGGUCAUGUGAUUAUAAAUAUGUUUAUAAAGAAGUGGUGAACAUAUGAAGGCGUAAGGUAUGUAUUUCAUUCAGAGCAUGUGACUAAAUUGAUAAGCAUAAGUCUUCAAACUUGUAUAUAGUUUAUUAGUUUUUCCCAUGCCUAAAGAAUUUAAACAAUGCUUUAAUCAGUCAAUUUUUAUGUGCCAUAAAGGGAGAAGAAAAGAAAUUAUUCAAGGCUAAUGUAUGGCAUGUAUUGGAGAUGUUUCUUUUGGAAGAAAAGAAUUUGGUAGUUCCUUUAUUUAAUUUGGUAUUUACAAGGCUAAUGCCCGAUUUUGAUGCUAAUGUUUUAGAAGCCUUGUACUACGGAAAGAAAGGUACAAAAGAAAAGGAACCCGUUUGACUUAAGAAAACAUUUGAGCAAUUUAGUUUUUAUAUUAAAGGAAUGUAUUGUUCUUUUGCAUUACAUAAAGUAUUUCUAUUUCAAGCAAUUGACUCCAUAAUGAUAAGUAUUGACAUUCUUGUGGUGGAAUAAAACUUGUUCUAUAUGUGAUUAAUCUCUUUCAAGUAUGCUGUCAGGUUUCUUGAGAUUAAUUUAAUGUCAAAGGGAGUCAUGAAGGAAUUAGUGCCAUUUGUUGGCAAGACUCAAAGCUCGAAUCAGGUUAUCAUAAUUUUGUCACUUACAAUUAAUUAAUCCAUGUGACUUCUUGUAUCUUCAGGGUGGAGUUGAUCAAUGCCCUUUCAACUAUGCAAGCCGCAACGGCUUAGUUGACGAUGAAACUGUGUUUUUGAGUUACUUCGGUCAACUUUGCAUCCUAAUUAGAAUAAAAGGGAUAAUCUUCUUGCCUACAGGUGUGGAUUACUUCUUUUAGUUUAAUUAAGAUGGCAUAGUAUGGGUUUUAUUUCACAUAAGUUGUGAAAAUCUUCAUCUUGCCUACAGGUGUUGAAGUUUUUCAUGAAGGUACUUUUGUGACAUAAAAUCUAGUACUAGAAACUAGUUAAUUUUCUUGCCUACAGGUGUAAAUUAACUUAGUUUCAUGAAGUUUAUUGGGAUAAAGUCCAUGCCAUUAGUGACAAAUAUUUCCACAAUGAGCCCCAUAAAAGGUUGUGGUUUGAAGGCAUGGAAAUCGGUUGCAUCAUGAUGUAUUUUGUAUCUCUUCAUGAGACUUGUUGAUGCAAAGUAUUGGACCCAUGAAGGUUAAUCAAGGAUUGCUAAGGUACACAUUGUUUAAAUCUUAUGCUUGUAAAUCUUUUCAAUUGGAACUAUGAUGUCGGUGAAAUUUGACUACUAAAGUUUCCUUUGGACAUCGAAAUUGAAAUGAUAUGAAAUUGAUUUUGUUAUGGAUGCAUAAAGUCAUGGUAGAUGCACAUAAUUGUUUCUGGCAGAAUGCGUGUCUUGAUUUAAAUCGAGUGAAUGACACGUCUAAUGGUCGCCAAAUGACCUGAAUUUUGGACAUGUUCAACAUAUAGAUGUCUACUAUGAGUCUGCAAAUUUUCGUAAUUUUCUGCCAUGUAUUUUAAUUAUGGUGAUUUUACCAGUAACCCAUGCUCGUAUAGACAGUUUUACUGGCAGAUUGUGUUGGUCUUUUUGAGACGUCACCUUAGACUACUUUUUGAUCCAAAACGGCUCUAUAUUUUUAUUUUAUGAAGAUUAGUAUGUCUAUUUUGAUCUGUCUAAUUUUGGUAGCAAUCAAGCUUAUAGAUUUAUCAUGAUAAAUUCCAAAGUAAGUGUAACUCGUUACUGAAAUUCUGUUUGACAACUUUCUGUUGGUUGUGAUGUCUAUAUUAUGUCUAAAAUAUAAAGCAAUUUUAUUUAGGUACAUUUUUUAAAGAGUGUUUGCCCAAGUGGGAGAAUAAGUGAACGAAAAUUGGGCUUCACACUCAUUAACUUAUUUGCAAGUAUAAACUCCGAGAACUUAGUGGGAGUUAUUCUAAAAUUGUGAGCAUUAAGUGGACUUGCAUGAAUCUAUUAAAGCAUUAUUCUAUCUUCCAUGAAUUUGGGUUACUCGAAUAUCUAUAAUAUGUUUAAGUUGCAUGCGUACUUUUUCUGUUACUUGCAAUCAUUUGGUUUUCUCGGUUGAUCAUUUGUUUUGGGGCUCAUAAGGACUUAGCAUGAAUGUGAACUUAUUAAAACAUAUAAGAUGGUUGUUGGAUGCAUGUUUUGUGUAACAGCGGUGAAUGCUUCCAUUCUUAGUUGUACCUUUCAUUGAGGUAAUAUGUAUUCAUUGACUGAGUAAGGCUAUUCCCAAAGGCAUAUUUUCAAAAAUAUGAUUUAAGUAUUGAUUUGCAAAUUAAGUAAUGAUGUUGCAGAUCAGUGGGAGUUUGAGUUUAGUAAUGCCUUACAUUUGCAGAUGACCUAUAAGGUAUGUGUAGAAUCCAUGUAUUCAUUUUAAUCUCCAGUUGGAUUCAUUAAGUCACAUUUUUCGUGUGCUAGUCAAUUAUCUGAUAAAAUAUAUAUCGGAUAUCAAGUUGUUAUCAAAUUGCAUAUUAAAUGGCAUGGCAUGGUUUGUGCACUGCCUCAGUUGUGAGGAUUUCCAUCUUGCCCACAGGUGUUGGAAAUCACUAUGAAAGUAACUGGUAUGGUGCAUAGAUCAAUGUCAAAAACAUAUUAAUUCAUCUUGCUCACAAGUGUUGAAUUAAUUUGUUUUAUGAAGUUUUGGGAUAUUUUACUUGGACAUGUGCCUAUUUGGUAUUUUCAGUUGUGUCCGUUUGCUACAAACAUUGUUUGUAUUGUUACUUAUCUAAUGAAAGUAAUGCAUGACUGUUUUGGAGAUGUAUUCACACCUGCAGGUUAUGGUCGUUUCAUUAGAUGAAGGAUAUUUGCAUUGGCAAACUAAAGGCUUUGAAGAAGCAUAAAGUGUAACUUGUGUGUUACAAUAAAGUGGACCUGAGAUGAUAUAAAGUAAGACUUUUUGGUUAAUUUAAAGUUUAAUUUAAAGUUUCAUCUCUUGAUCAUAAUUUGUGUUUCAUGUAAAUGUGGAUCUUAGCAUGAGUGAUUAUGAAGGUUCUGGGUUGUGUCAACCCUACAACCUUGUUAAUUCCAUGUUAAGAAAUGCAUUUGACAGAAGCUGCAUUAAGGACGAGAUGUAAUCACUGUUACAUGGCCACUAAAGUGACAUUAGUCUCCAAUCUCAAGUAUAAACGUGAAUAUUACAUUUUGUAGACCAAGUGGGAGAAUGUUGGAUUUAUCCAAUAUAAAUCAACCUUUAAGUGGUCUACUACAUGUAAUAGGAAUGUAAUAUUGGAGAAUAAUGAUUGUGAUUUGAUCUCUUAAAGAUAUCAAUUCUAUAUAAGGUGUCUUAUAUUGGAAAUAGGAUUGAUGGAACCCUUAAUAAUAUAUGAUUAUGAUAUUUUACUUGAGAGCCAAGAAAGGAGAGUUUUAGCUUUCCCUUAUGGAUGGAAUCUAAGACUUUUUGGCUAAUAUAUAAACACCGGUCCCUGCUAACCCUAGACACGACAACUAAGGCUUCCCAUAGAGCAUUGUCAUAAAGCUAGGAGUUUACAGAAGAGUUGGUGUUUUCUGUUUGUCACGGCAAACAUAAAGAUUGGAGUUUUAUCGAUCACGUCUU
rnacentral:lncRNA from 1 species